rnacentral:pre_miRNA from 1 species
UUGUGCUGAGGUAGUAAGUUGUGUUGUUGUGGGGACAUUGUAUUAUUUGCCCCGACUGGAGAUAACUAUACAUCUUACUGCCUUCCACAC